CUAAUUCUUAUUAUAUUGUCUUGAACAACCCAAAAUUCUGUUUUGCUUCAUUACCUUAUUAUUAUUUUUUUAGACAACUAAUUUCUAAAUUCUAAUCAUUCUGACCUACAUGCACUUACAUGCACCAAACACAGGAAUGCCCCCCCUCCCCCACUCUGGUCAUGCUGGAGAGUCCACCUCCGUGUUUUGGACUUGAUUUAGCCAGGUGUGGCGACAUUUAGGAGGAAUGGAGCUCGACCUUUAACCUCCUUGGCCGUGAUCUUAGUCUGUUACUUCUUCUUUGUGGGCGGAACACAAGGAUGACGUGGGCUGCGUUUCCUGUCCUCCAUACGAGGCCAGGAUUAAACAUUUGACUCCUGUAUUUAUUAGACAAUAUCCUUUGUCACCUGAAAAAAGUGACUCAAAACGCCUCCACUGAACACGUGUGGCUCGGCCUGCGUCACGACUGCGCCCAGCGUGUCUGCUGGCAUUGACUCUAAUUUGAAUUCUCUUUUGCAACAGGGCGUUAUCACUCCAUGCGUCAGCCCAUACAAUACACCUGUCAAUCCUGUUCCAAAACCAGAUGGUUCGUGGAGGUUCACACAAGACCUGAGAACGAUAAAUGAACUGAUUAUUCCUGUUGCUCCAAUUGUCCCUGAUGUAUCCUCAAUUAUAGCCUCUAUUCCAUGUACAUAUAGAGUCUUUUCUGUGAUUGACCUUUGUUCUGCUUUCUUUAGUGUUCCUGUAGGGAAAGACACACAGCCACUCUUUGCCUUCACACACAGGGGACGGCAGUAUACGUGGACCAGGUUGCCACAGGGUUACAUCGAUUCCCCCGCAGGCUUCGCGACCACGGUCAAGAACGCCCUGUCAAGCCUCUGCCUUCCCCCAGACUCAGUGGUCUUACAAUAUGCAGGUGACCUCUUGGUGGCUGCGGCCGAUUAUGACACCUGCCAAGCAGCGACCCUGGCUCUACUCACACACCUGGCUGAGAAAGGUUUUAAGGUGUCCAAGUCAAAACUCCAGUUCUGCCAGAACACUGUCCGCUACCUUGCGACCUUGUACGUUUCUUUCUAAAUCCCUCGACUCUGUGGCUCAGGGUUUGCCUGCCUGUCUACGUGCUGUUGCCGCCUGUGAUCUGAUGGUAACUGAUGCUGAAAAGAUCGUUUUAUCUCAUCCUUUGAUCUUACACACCUCACAUCAGGUAACGCAAAUUUUACACAAUUUAAACACACAGCACAUGUCAUCCCAGCGACGUUCAGGAUAUGAGACCGUGUUAUUGGCCACUGAGCAUUUAACUGUACGUCCAUCAUCCUCUCUUUACACUGUAGCGCAAUGCCUUGCAGUGCCUUCUUAAUGCACAGGAUGAUUGUAUGGGUGAAUCUGAUCAUGAUUGCCUUACUGAAAUAGUCAAUGCCACUAGCAUUCGCCCUGACCUCUCCUCCGUUCCCCUACAGACAGGCAGCUGAACUCUUCGCUCUCACUCGUGCCUGUGUUCUCGCUGAGGACGCUGACGUCACUAUUUACACUGACUCUCGUUAUGCCUUCAGAGUAGCUCAUGAUUUUGGCCUCAUCUGGCAAUCUCGUGGGUUCACUGCAGCUAACGGCAAGCCUAUCUCCCAUGCCUCGUUAGUGAAGGAUUUAAUCACUGCCUGUCAUCUGCCUCGUUCUGUGGCCAUUGUUAAAACUAGGGCGCAUUCCUCUGGUGACACCGAUGAAGUGCGAGGGAGCAGUCUCGCUGACCGAAUGGCUAAACAGGCUGCGGCCUCACGCACACUUCCCCAAACCUAUCUCCAGCCAUGGUUUCUGUUAACUCCAUGAUCAGUGCUGUUCUACCUGACAUGGAUCUCCCUUCGCUGCAGGCUUCAGCUUCGCCUGCUGACCACGAAUUUUGGACUAGUCAGGGUGCGACUGAUUCCUAUGUUAUUCUAGAUAACAAGGGCCGUGUCUGUCUACCGCGACAUUGUACUCCUUUUCUCGUCCGCGAGUUUCAUGGCCCCACUCAUCGCGGACGAAGAGGGGUGUUACAGGACUUAUCUGAGGUUUUUUUGUAUUUUCCGCUUACACACAGAAGUGAAUAGAAUAUUAGACGGAUGCUUAAUAUGCGCACAGAAAAACAUUUCAAACAAGUGGCUUUGGAUCACCUGUCUCCCUAUGAGCUCGUGAUGGGGAGAUCAUUUCUCCAACCUUGGCGAAGAGGCAAACAGGCAUUGGGAACGGGGGACCUUGAUGUACACCUCAGCGAGUACUCUGCAGGGUUAAUUCAGAAGCUCAAUGAGUAUUGGGCACGGGUAAAUUCAAAACAACCCCAAAUUCCAAUUGGCAAUUCCUUUUAAGGUGGGAGAUUGUGUCUUGGUCAUAAAUUUGGGAAAAUUAGGCACGCCUUUGGAUGAGACCCCGUAUAGUGGACCUGCAGAAAUAGUCGCUGUGACUCGCACUGCUGUGUUAACUGAUCUUUUUCCACAGUGGAUCCACGCCUCCCGUCUAAAACCAGGCACGGGUUUGGAAAGAAGGAUCAUAAGUAAAAAGUCUGUC